rnacentral:pre_miRNA from 1 species
AGUUACCUUUCCUAUUCCAUCGGUUUGAGGUCCAUCUGAAGGUUUUUUUUUUUUUUUUUUUGAUGUCAAAAAAAAAAAACCUUCAAAUGGACCUCAAACCGAUGGAAUAGGAAAGGUAACU